GUUUAAGAAACAUUUAUUAUGUAUCUACCAGGUACUAGGAAUUAUAUAUCCUAGCAUGAUGGAAAUGUGAAAAAAUAAAUGUGACAGUUACUAUCCUCAAAAUAAAUAAAUGAAUGCUGAUUGCCUGACUGUCCGUGCUGUGGGACAGAAGAAUUGCAGAUUGGCCAUCUUGCCCUCUCUCGGUCCCACAGAAUCUUAAAACCUGGAUGCUGCAAGUAAUCUCCCAAAAGCCUUUGCGGUAAGCCCAGGCACGGGACAGAAGGAUGGGGAAGAGAAGAAUUCGGGUGUCGGGAAAAGCUGCAAUGCCUCCGUUUCCAUUUCUGUUUAACUGGCAGGAAAAACUUGUGUAUAUGCGUACUGAAAAUCAUGGCCAUGGUAGAGAUACAGUGGAUUUCAUUUGUAAGUAAUCGAUCUGUUUCUUUAAAGGACAUGGUGUUUUUGUACACAGAGACU
rnacentral:lncRNA from 1 species